AACGAACGCUGGCGGCAGGCUUAACACAUGCAAGUCGAGCGCCCCGCAAGGGGAGCGGCAGACGGGUGAGUAACGCGUGGGAAUCUACCCAUCUCUACGGAAUAACGCAUGGAAACGUGUGCUAAUACCGUAUACGUCCUUCGGGAGCAAGAUUUAUCGGAGAUGGAUGAGCCCGCGAUGGAUUAGCUAGUUGGUGGAGUAAGGGCCUACCAAGGCGACGACCCAUGGCUGGUCUGAGAGGAGGAUCAGCCACACCGGGACUGAGACACGGCCCAGAAUCGUACGGGAGGCAGCAGUGGGGAAUAUUGGACAAUGGGCGAAAGCCUGAUCCAGCCAUGCCGCGUGAGUGACGAAGGCCCUAGGGUUGUAAAGCUCUUUCACCGGUGAAGAUAAUGACGGUAACCGGAGAAGAAGCCCCGGCUAACUUCGUGCCAGCAGCCGCCGUAAUAC
rnacentral:rRNA from 1 species